rnacentral:tRNA from 1 species
GGCCUCGUAGCUCAGCUGGUACUGAAGCGAGGGUGGUGAUCGUGCGUGGGUUCGAAUCUCGCCGAGGCCA